ACCAAUGUCAAAGAGCAGGACAGCAGGAAGUCCCCCAAAAUCCUCUCCCAGUGCAUCCUGAAGCGAGGUAAAGUUAGGCCUAUAAGCAGAGUUAUACUGCAAGUUGAAGCUCCAAUAGUGGUUCCACUUUAUUCUGAUCGUCUGACUGAAACGUUACCAGCUUUCCACAAUCUAGGUGUCAUAUGCCUAACAAUACGUGUCUGUGAAAAUAGUCACUCCCUUAUUUUAUCGAAGCUUUGCACUCAAGUCUCUAAUGGGUGGUUUGUCUCUUUUCUUGUAUCCAACCAGAGAAAGACAGAUGUCACUGAGGAAGAGGAGGAGGGUGAUGAUGAAACGGACGUGAACACUGACAUAGAAACACAACAGUGGCACAAGCCAAGAGACAAGAAGAUUGAUGACAAGCCUAUUCCAGUGGUCUUGGAGACAAGGGCAAAAGUGAGCUGGAAGAGAAGUCUACUGCAGUUAUAACUUUGACUGGUGAGCUACACGUGAAUGCAUUGUUUACAUCUAAUGCAUGUAAUAACCAAUUCAACCACAAGAGGAUAUUUUUUAUCACAGAUGCAAGUCCAUUAUAUCUUCAACUUUUACGUAUCAAAGAAACCCAUGUUUUACAUAUGGGCAGGUACUUACUGUAUAGGCACAAAUCUAUGGUUAGCAGCAGAAACAGUAUGGUAUCCAUAAACAAAUGUCAUCAAAUGUUUCCACCUCCAUGGUAGUAUGUUUAUGUUCUCAGGACAGUGUCAGAAGUAACAGAUGAAGAUGGGUGGGCGUAUAACGUGAACGUCUAGCAACCCAAAGGCUGCAAAUUUGAUUAUCAUUACAGACAACUUGCGCAUUUUAGCUAAUUAGCAACUUGUCAACUGCUUACUACAUUUUAGUUACUUUUCAAAUACUAAGUAUGCUAGCUAACUCUUCCCCUACCCUAACAUUAACCCUUUUAGCUAACCCUAACCCUAACCUUUACUCUUUAAGCUAACUUGUAAACAUAAUCCUAACCCCUAGCCUAGCUAACAUUAGCCAGAUAGCUAACGUUAGCCACCCAGCCACCUAGCUAGAUUUCGUAACAUAUCAUAUUAUAACGACACAGGGCGAGAAACAGAUGCAGACACCAGAGGCAAAUGGUUUGAGUCUCUGAUAUUUAUUGAAAAACAAGGGGCAGGCAAGAGGCUGGUCGAGGACAAGCAUAAGUUCAUAAACCAGGUCAGAGUCCAGAAGGUACAGGGCAGCAGACAGUCUGGAGGUCAGGCUGAAUGGUCAGGCAGGCGGGUACAGUGUCAGGGCAGGCAAAGGGUCAGAACCGGGAGGACUAGAAAAACAGAGACGAGGAAAAACAGGAGCACGGAAAAACACACUACUUGACUUGACGAACUGGCAACAGACAGACAGAAGACACCGGUAGAAAUACACAGGGAAUAACGGGAACAAAUGGGAGACACCUGGUUGGAGGUGAAGACAAGCACAAGACAGGUGAAACAGGGUGUGACACAUAUGUUUCGCAAAUUCAUAACAUAUAGUAAUACAGUAAUACAAAUUGUAAUUUGUAACAAAUCAUAGAAAAUGGUUGAUGGCCAUCCACAAAUGAUUACAUACCAUACGAAACGUAAUAUAUCAUACUAAAAGGAGUGUCUCGGACUUACACAGAUAAUAAUACGAAAUUCUCUGAGACCAGGUUGAGAAUACCCAUACAGAUUUCUGUCUGUGUGCAUGGGUGUGUGAGGACUAGCCUAUAAUAAGAAUGUGUGGCUGGAAGUUGGACAGCAGACUCCAGUCACCCAAGUCAUAGACUUGGAUCGAGGACCAAAGGCUCUUAACAGCUUCUACCCCCAAGCCAUAAGUCUUCUACCACCCCCCCCCCCCCCCCCCCCCCCACAUUUUGUUAUGUACACUGCUGCUACUCGCUGUUUAUUAUCUAUGCAUAGUCACUUCACCCUAACCUCCACGUACAAAUUACCUCGACUAACCUGUACCCCUGCACAUUGACUCGGUACCAGUGCCCCCUGUAUAUAGCCUCAUUAUUUUAUUAUGUUACUUUAGUUUAUUUGGUAAACAUUUUCUUAACUCUUUCUUGAACUGCACUGUUGGUUAGGUCUACACUUGUUGUAUUUGGCGCAUGUGACAAAGAAAGUUUAAUUUGAUUUGAGCAUGUUAACCACAAACCAUAUCCGGUUUAGGUUUCCUAAUCUGGAAUUAGGGAUCUUGCGAGAUACUAUUUUAUACUUCUUAGUUUGUUUUUUACCCUUUUCACAUGCACCCUAUGCUUCACAAUUGUCAUCUCAAAAUCUAGUUCUGGCAUUUGUAGGUUGGACAUUGCAAAGUGAUGAUACAUGUAGUGUGUUAUUCAUUCAGUUAUUCAUUUAGUGUUAAGGUUAUAUUUUUUGAGGUCUCCUGAGUCAAAUUAUAUGUAAAUCAGACUUCUGUUGCUAACGUUGUACUUGUGAUUGCACUAAGUUGUGUAGUUAUGUAUGAGUUAUGUAAGUUGUUAUAAUUGAUUGUCACGACUGGCCUGUGAGCAUCAGGGUACAAACGAUCAGGGCUCUACAGAGGUAUCAAAAUCAAAUCAAAUCAAAUCAAAUUGUAUUGUUCACAUACACGUGAUUAGCAGAUGUUCUGGCGGGUGUACCGAAAUGCUUGUGCUUCUAGCUCCAACAGUGCAGUAAUAUCUAACACGUAAUUUCUAACAAAUUAAACAUUCACCCAAUACACACAAAUCUAAGUAAGAAUGUAGGAAGACUACAUACAUGGACGAGCUAUGUCAGAGCAGAAUGGACUAAGAUACAUUAGAAUGGUAUAGAAUAUACUAUAUACAUAUGAGAUGAGUAAUGGAGGAUACAGUUGAAGUCGGAGGUUUACAGACACCUUAGCCAAAUAGCCAAAAGUUUUUCACAAUUCCUGAUAUUUAAUCCUAGUAAAAAUUCCCUGUUUUAGGUCAGUUAGGAUCACCACUUUAUUUUAAGAAUGUGAAAUGUCAGAAAAUUAGUAGAGAGAAUGAUUUAUUUCAGCUUUUAUUUCUUUCAUCACAUUCCCAGUGGGUCAGAAGUUUACAUAAAGUUUUUUAUGGCGGUUUUGGAGCAGUGGCUUCUUCCUUGCUGAGUCAUAGGACUCGUUUUACUGUGGAUAUAGAUACUUUUGUACCUGUUUCCUCCAGCAUCUUCAAUAGGUCCUUUGCUGUUGUUCUGGGAUUGAUUUGAAUUUCUCGCACCAAAGUACAUUCAUCUCUAAGAGAGCGUACACAUCUCCUUCCUGAGCGGUAUGAUGGCUAGGUGGUCACAUGGUGUUUAUUCUUGCGUACUAUUGUUUGUACAGAUGAAUGUGGUACCUUCAGGUGUUUGGAAAUUGCUCAAAAGGAUGAACCAGACUUGUGGAGGUCUACAAUUUAUUUUCUGAGGUCUUGGCUGAUUUCUUUUGAUUUUCCCAUGAUGUCAAGCAAAGAGGCACUGAGUUUGAAGGUAGGCCUUGAAAUACAUCCACAGGUACACCUCCAAUUGACUCAAAUUAUUUCAAUUAGCCUAUCAGAAGCUUCUAAAGACAUGACAUAAUUUCAUGGAAUUUUCCAAGCUGUUUAAAGGCACAGUCAGCUUAGUUUAUGUAAACUUCUGAAUGAAAUAAUGUCUGUGUGCCAAAACUAUAGUUUGUUAACCAGAAAUUUGUUAAAAGAAAGUUUUAAUGACUCCAACCUAAGUGUAUGUAAACUUCCGACUUCAACGGCAUGUAAACAUUAUUAUUAAGUGAAUGAGAAACCAUAGAAUAGUACAGAAAACAAUAUAUACAUAUGAGAUUACUAAUGCCAGAUAAGUAAACAUUA
ensembl:lncRNA